rnacentral:rRNA from 1 species
UUAGAGUUUGAUCCUGGCUCAGGACGAACGCUGGCGGCGUGCCUAAUACACGCAAGUCGAGCGGACAGAGGGGAGCUUGCUCCCUGAUGUUAGCGGCGGACGGGUGAGUAACACGUGGGUAACCUGCCUGUAAGACUGGGAUAACUCCGGGAAACCGGAGCUAAUACCGGAUAGUUCCUUGAACCGCAUGGUUCAAGGAUGAAAGACGGUUUCGGCUGUCACUUACAGAUGGACCCGCGGCGCAUUAGCUAGUUGGUGGGGUAAUGGCUCACCAAGGCGACGAUGCGUAGCCGACCUGAGAGGGUGAUCGGCCACACUGGGAUUGAGACACGGCCCAGACUCCUACGGGAGGCAGCAGUAGGGAAUCUUCCGCAAUGGACGAAAGUCUGACGGAGCAACGCCGCGUGAGUGAUGAAGGUUUUCGGAUCGUAAAGCUCUGUUGUUAGGGAAGAACAAGUGCGAGAGUAACUGCUCGCACCUUGACGGUACCUAACCAGAAAGCCACGGCUAACUACGUGCCAGCAGCCGCGGUAAUAC